CAAGGCUGAACCUGGAGGAGCUGGAUGAGGGUGUCCUUAAAUGCCUUAGCAGGAAGAAACGUAUGGGUCCCAGGCAUCCUGCUCUCCAGUGCUUGUGUCAAUAGCAACUUUUCCUGUAGUUCCUCUGCAUCUUUUUGUGCCUUUCAUAAAUGAGGAGACCCAAACCACAAAAAAAAAAAAAGCCUCCAUUCCUGGCUUGUUUGUGCUAGAGGAAAAGCUUUAUUCAAGUAGGAGUCUCAUCUCCCCAUUGUGCUCAAUCACUGUCAGUCGUUACRUGCCUUUCUUCCAAAUGCCCUUUGAUUUGCUCGAUAUGGUGGACUCAAAGUGGACAUUUCYCAGAGGACGUAGGA